UACGUAGGGUGCAAGCGUUAAUCGGAAUUACUGGGCGUAAAGCGUGCGCAGGCGGUUCUAUAAGACAGAUGUGAAAUCCCCCGGGCUCAACCUGGGGAACUGCAUUUGUGACUGUAGAGCUGGAGUACGGCAGAGGGGGAUGGAAUUCCGCGUGUAGCAGUGAAAUGCGUAGAUAUGCGGAGGAACACCGAUGGCGAAGGCAAUCCCCUGGGCCUGUACUGACGCUCAUGCACGAAAGCGUGGGGAGCAAACAGG
rnacentral:rRNA from 1 species